rnacentral:misc_RNA from 1 species
AACGCAAAUUGCACUCUCUGGUAUUCCAGAGAGUAUGCCUGUUUGAGGGUCAGUGUAAUAAAAAAAUCGUUGUUGUUACCACCAUUCGUGGUGACGCUUCGGAAUUGAGUCGUCUUACCUUUCGGUUAAGUGGCUUUAAAUUUUUUACACGAAUUCGGAACGUAUUUAAUGUAUUAUGUACGUUUAACGAAGUCGGUUAUUAGAUGCGGUCAUUUUAUGAUAUUCGCGUCUAUAAUUUUUCUUUUUUUGACCUCAAAUCAGGUAAGAGUACCCGCUGAACUUAA